UACGAAGGGGGCUAGCGUUGCUCGGAAUUACUGGGCGUAAAGCGCACGUAGGCGGGUCGUUAAGUCGGGGGUGAAAUCCUGGAGCUCAACUCCAGAACUGCCUUCGAAACUGACGAUCUUGAGUUCGGGAGAGGUGAGUGGAACUGCGAGUGUAGAGGUGAAAUUCGUAGAUAUUCGCAAGAACACCAGUGGCGAAGGCGGCUCACUGGCCCGAUACUGACGCUGAGGUGCGAAAGCGUGGGGAGCAAACAGGG
rnacentral:rRNA from 1 species